rnacentral:tRNA from 1 species
GCAUUAGUAGCUCAGUGUCAGAGCGCCGGUCUUGUAAACCGGAGGCCGAGAGUUAAAGCCUCUCCUACUGCU